ACCAGUCCAUGGUUUUACGUUUGGGAAAAAAAGGCCAGCCGGUUCCAGGUUGUAAAAUUGCAACGGGAUGCAAGUAAUUUUACGUUUAUGCAUUGACUCGAAUAUACCCCCUUGCCCAUCCUUUUUCUGAAAAAAAGAGAGCCGCGCCUCCGAACGGUUUGUGAGUAUCGGCGGUGACCAGCACGCAAGAGACGGCAGCGUGGUGCUCGGCGAUUUGGAUCUGAGUGAAGCCAUCGGUUGGCUGGCUGCCGGGGCGGCGCGCUACUCGGCGGCGUGGUCUCGAUGUUGUGGUGGUCGCUGGGCAGUUGGCGCGGCGUGGUGUGCGGCGUCUGCCUAGGUCUUGGGCGGCGUCAUGCGUGGUCGUCGCGGCGGAGCUAUGGCGAGUGAUUGUAGCGGCGCUCAAGUGCGUGCCCGUGCUUGUGCUGCUACGUGAAGGCGUUGCUUGCCAUUUGGAUUGAAUUUUGGUUGGGUGUGAGUGCACGGGUUGAGGAACACAAUGUCGGUGCGAUGCUUCCAAAUGCACCAGCAAAAGAGAAGGAAGAACGUCGACCGCGGGUGAGCGACAUCUCGCAGAUUGUGGACAGAGGCUACUGUAGGUGGCUGGAACCACAUCGUGGCCCCGAAAUCAACCAAUAACGGGCAGACAAAGAAGAGGUGACUCGCCAAUAACAGUGUGGCGGACUGGGCAGGCAACUAGAGGUUUAGAGCAAUGAAAAAGGUGAUUUUGUUCUUGAAUCGUGCUUAACAUUUAUUUAGCAAUCAAGCACUUGCAGCCCGGUUUGAGAUGUGCUUCUUGUUGGUUCAUGUAGACAUGCCAACAAAGGCCUCAUAAAGAAAAAUAGAAAAAAAUACAGUAGAUUGGUUUUGAUUGUUCUCUUGUGUAGACCAAAAUUAGCGAGCAAAAGAAAUUGGAUUUUGGUUCCAAAUUCUUUCCGUGAGUUUAUCCCAGGAAUAAUGUAUUGUUCCUAUUUGAUUUGCUACAUGUAACUUCCGUAGGCAAAUCUUCCACCCGAUGUUUCUGUUCAACAGCUCUCAAAGGCAUAGAGUCAACCAGUCAGACUUUGACCAGAUGUCGAACAUCUUCAGAACCUUGAUUGCUGAUCCUAGAUACCUAAACUCUAUUCUGGCAAGUUGUACAUGUAAUAAUUAGUUCUAGGAGGGUAUGCAGAUUGAAUUUGCUAUAUUGCAGUCUGGACUACAAGCUGCAAUGUUUUGAUAACCAUGGUCUGGAUGUAGAUAAUUUUGAGAAAGCAUACUUCUUUCCAUGUGCAUUUAGGCCUUAUGGGAUUAAUCUCUCUAUCAUCAGUUCUUCUAGUAUUUGAUUGAACCCUCUAAGAUAAUUCCAGUUUCAGUAAUUUAUCAAAUCAAUCUCAUGGGAGAAGAUUUGUCCUUGGUUCAGUCAAAUCUCUUAUAUUUUCUUUAAAUCUACGUGCCUUGUAGUUGUAAGUACUCUACUAUCUUUUCAGUAACAUUCUGACCUAUAUAUGAGAAUUAUGUAGCACCUUUAUUACGACAGUAAUGAUUCACUAAGCUUCUAUCUUACCACAUGGUCCAAUUUAUUUCCAGUUGUUGCCACCUUCCCUGGAUACAUCACACCCUAUAUAGUGUGCUCCUAGCAUGCUUUGUGUUUUUAGAUCAAAACUGUUCGUCUGCAACAAAUUGAAGUGUUGGUCUGGAAAUAAAAUUAUUUAGAAAGAGGCGAACUAUCUACUCAUUUUCUACCAUCUAAACUAGUAUAGAUAGUGGUACAUGCUAGCGAACAAAUAGUUUAUACCCUAUUUCAGUGUGGGGUACUAUUCUGCUAUUCUGUGGAAGCACCUGCUAUUAUUUUUGUUCAAAGCAUUCAUAAUUUGGGUUUCUGCAAGGGCUCUGAAAAGAAACAUAUUUUUGAUAAAUGUUGUGCGAUGCAUCGUUCUGCACACCUAAUCGCCUACUUAGAAAAAGAAAUAAAAGUAGCUGCAUUCGUGUGUACUUUGGAGUGUGUAUAGAUGGUAGAAUAAUUGUACCCUUGCUUUGUACUAAUAGUUUUAUUUACACUGUAGGUAGUUCACUAUAUAAGUUUCCUGAUAACUGUAGGCUGAUGUUAAUAUUUUUUUGGAAAGAAUGAAAUAUCAGGAUAUUUGACAUUGUAGAAUUAUGCUGACACGGUGUUUGAGGGUAUCAUUGAUGAGUUUCAAUCUUGGAGAGGUGCAGGCUGCUUGUCUUCUUUCUGAAUCAUGUUCCUCCUGUUUUCUCCCUGUUGGGAGUGUAUAGAGUUCUCCCUGGUGGGCUGUGUAAUCAGCGGGUUAUCUUAGUCCAUGUAUAGAUUCCAGUUCUGUUUCCUUGAGAGCUGACCCUGUAAUUCUAGCUUUAUUUUCCUAGAGCUGAUACCUAGAGUUUUCCCUGUUUAAAUAAAGUUCAUCCCCAGGCCCUUCAAGAUAACACUACUCCCCAGAUUAAAAUGUGAUGGUGUGUUUAUAUGAUAACAAUUAGUCUUUCUUAGGAAUGUGAGUUUUGGGGACAUUCUUACCGUCGGAAAGUCACCCUUCAAAUAAAAGUAUUAUCUAUAAUCAAGGAAGCAUUUCCAGACAUGGUACUUCCAAAAUAAUUCCAACUGAUUUCCACUACAUCAAAUCCAUGGUGCCUCAUGGAUUUAUCUUGAUAAAAAUGUACAGCAAAAAGGAGAGAAAAAUUGUAUGCAUCAGUAUCUUGUUGUUUCUCUCGAAGCAGAAAAGAUCUUUUCAAAGAAACUGAGUGUCAUGUGAUGCAGCUAGUGCACAUAGAGGUAGUUUGAUGCGUGAGGUAAAUUUACUUUGUGAGCCUAUUGUUUCUUACGGUAGUGGUUCUGGUACACAGGUUUAGGAAGCGCCAUAACUUUUAACAUGCGCGAGGUAAAUUUACUUCAUAAGCUUUGUUUCUUACGGCGACACAAUAAUAGUUUCUCACAGCAUGCAUGCUGUAAGAUUACCUCGCUCCGUUUCCUCAUAUAGUAAUCUUACCGCAGGUGUUCUGGGCGUGGAGGUGGGCUGGGGGUGAGGAAUAAGAAUUCCUCAUCCUGAAUGACGAAUAAAGUGUGUGUGUGUGUAUAUAUAUAUAUAUAUAUAAUUAGAGUAGUUAUUAUGAUCACAACGGCCCUAUAAAGGCCCGACUGGACGUUCCCGAAUUCCCGAAAACGCAUAACAGAAAACCUGGCCGGUCCAUCAAACUCCUCCGACUGGCCCAAUCCCUGCGUCAUGACCUUCCCAACCACCCCACCUCCCGCACCACCUCUGCCCCAUCCUCCCGCGCACCUCCUGCCGCCGGCCCCAGCGCGCCACCCGCCGCCGACCAACCCCCUCCCCGGCCCGACGCGGCCUUCCCAAACCACCCUUCGCCACGCGCACCCUCGCCGGAAAUCUCACCGCCGCGUGCGCCUCCCCAAAUCACCCGCUGCCGCCUGCGCCCGCCCUGGAUCCCCCGCCUAGCUGGUUCCCACUGCGGCCGCCGCAAGCCUCCACGGAUCCCGGCGGCGCCCUCCCUUCGGCGUGCUCCUUCAUCCCGUUGUCACGUCCUGGAUUCGGCUGCCCCGGACCCCGCCAGAUCCAGUAGAAGUUCCCGCCUACUCUCGACUACUGCCAGGGAAGGACCUCGCCACCACGCUGAAGUUGACUAGUAAUUAUCUACUAAUUUUUCCAAGGAUAAGCUCGCUUCUACAUUUUUCAUAUGUACCAGCUUCUGUUAUUUACAUAUCAGAUGCUCUGACUAAAUCAUCUUGUGUGUUCAGAUACUGCAAAUUCUACUAUGUACCUUCAGCAGAAUUAGGUGAUGAAAAUGUUGUUCCUCCUAUGGAUCGUUGAUUCCACA